rnacentral:lncRNA from 1 species
UUUGAUUUGUAUUGGGUAGUUUCUUCUGUCUUCAAACAUGUCUUUUAUCACCAAUGCCAUGUGUAAGAUUGUAAUCUCUGCAAUACAGAAUGCCACUACCCAUGUACUCACCGAAAAAAUCAGGGUCAUUGAAAGCUUGAACAAGCUACCACAUUUGUCAGUAACAAUCUAUUCUCAUUGGAGGAAGAAAUCAAGUUAAACGAGUGAGUGAUUUAUAUAUAUAUUUUAAGGGGGUGGAUCCGUAGCACCAUGUUUUUGACACAAGUUUUGACACAAAUUUUAAACCCUUAGAUUAGACUACAAUAAAUGGCUGAGAUUAAAUAAACUAAUUCUUUCAACUUAAAAUAAUUAUAAUUUAAUUUAAUUAACUUUGCUAUUCAAUUUUCUCUCUCCACAUUUAUAUUUUCACUUCUUCCUAAAAGCAUCAACAUUCUAUCUCACGACAUCUUCUUCUUCUUUUUCAUGACUUUCCCUUUUUUUUACUUCUCUCUUCUUUUUGCCCACACACUAUUUUCCUCCAUAACAAGAAACAACGAACCCAACCCAUAUAGCAAAAUCAAAUACCCAGUAGGGAAGAUUGACGUAGGGAGGAGGAAGGUUGAUCUUUGUAAUUUUUUUUUUCGUUUUUUUUUUUUCUGGUGCUGCUAAAUUAAAACCUCUAUUUCCCCUUGCUGAGAAAAACAAAAAAAGGAUCAAGCAGUUAGUUGAUUGAGAUUCAUUUUGAUCAUCCCCAAUGAAAUUUCAAGAACCUAAGAGCAUGAUUACCCUGCCCUCCAUGGAACUCCCCCAAAUUCGUUUUGAUUCUGAGUGGAGAGAAAGUAAUUGCAUAUAACUAGCAGUAGGCAAAUGGAGAUUUUUGGCACAUCGAGGCUGUGGAGGAGAUUACGCUGGGCAUGGAGGAAGGGGGAUGUAGAAUUUGGAGACAGUCCAAUUCAUAAUUAUUAGAUUAAAAUAAUAAUAAUUAGAAUAAAUGUAUUAUUUCCAAGAUAAUAAUAAAUUAGCUGUGAGAUUUAAUCUGAGCCAUUAAUAGUGCUUAAAUCUAAGGGUUCAAAAUUUGUGUCAAAAGUUGUGUCAAAAAUAUGGUGCCACGGAUCCGCCCCCAUAUUUUAAUUGUGUUAAAAAAAAUAUAAAUACUUAUAUAUUUGUUGUUAACAGGGAUGCUAAAAUGGAAGGGUAUGGACAUGUGAUAUAAACCAAGUCAAAGGCCAUCGUAGCAGCAACACCACCAUUGACAGGGAAGAGUCCAUUGCAGUAGCAGCAGUUAUAUGUUUUUAUGUUUUAUGUUUCAUUUUUAUAAGUUUAUUAUAAAUUAAGAUGGAUGCGACAUAAAAAAUACGUUUAUCCUUUAAUUUUAAUGUACUCUGGAUGAGUCUAUUCUAGUUUUAAUAUGUUAACUUAAAUUUAAGAGUCUAGCAAAAGGAAACAAACUUAAAUUUAAGAGAGAUGUGUGUUUGGUUAGAG